CUAUAACUAGAGGAACUAGAGGUGAUGGAGCUCCGGACCUCUAGGGCUAUAACUAGAGGAACUAGAGGUGAUGGAGCUCCGGACCUCUAGGGCUAUAACUAGAGGAACUAGAGGUGAUGGAGCUCCGGACCUCUAGGGCUAUAACUAGAGGAACUAGAGGUGAUGGAGCUCCGGACCUCUAGGGCUAUAACUAGAGGAACUAGAGGUGAUGGAGCUCCGGACCUCUAGGGCUAUAACUAGAGGAACUAGAGGUGAUGGAGCUCCGGACCUCUAGGGCUAUAACUAGAGGAACUAGAGGUGAUGGAGCUCCGGACCUCUAGGGCUAUAACUAGAGGAACUAGAGGUGAUGGAGCU